rnacentral:rRNA from 1 species
GAUGAACGCUGGCGGCGUGCCUAACACAUGCAAGUCGAGCGAACAGACGUGGAUCUUGUUCCUGUGACGUUAGUGGCGCAUGGGUGAGUAACAUGUGGAUAACCUCCCUAUCUGACUGGGAUUACUUCUGGAACCUGGGGCUAAGACCGGAUAAUAUUUCGCACCGCAUGGUUCGAUAGUGAAUGAUUGCUUUGCUAUCACUUAUAUAUGGACCUGCGCCGUAUUAGCUAGUUGGUAGGGUAACGGCUUUCCAGGGCAACGAUACGUAGCCGACCUGAGAGAGUGAUAGGACACGCUGGGAGUGAGACACGGUCCAGACUCCGACGGGAAGAAGCAGUAGGGUACCUUGGGCAGUAGGAGAGAGGAUGACGGAGCAACGGGGCGUAGGUGAAGGAGGUAAUGGGAUGGGGAAGCAGUAUUAUUAGGGGUGAACAAACGUGUAAGUAGGAGAAGAAGUAAUGACGGUACCUGAUCAAAAAGCAACGGCUAACUACGUG